rnacentral:rRNA from 1 species
GAUGAACGCUGGCGGCGUGCUUAACACAUGCAAGUCGAACGGAAAGGCCCAAGCUUGCUUGGGUACUCGAGUGGCGAACGGGUGAGUAACACGUGGGUGAUCUGCCCUGCACUUCGGGAUAAGCCUGGGAAACUGGGUCUAAUACCGGAUAGGACCACAUUUUGGAUGGUGUGGUGGAAAGUUUUUCGGUGUGGGAUGAGCUCGCGGCCUAUCAGCUUGUUGGUGGGGUAAUGGCCUACCAAGGCGUCGACGGGUAGCCGGCCUGAGAGGGUGUACGGCCACAUUGGGACUGAGAUACGGCCCAGACUCCUACGGGAGGCAGCAGUGGGGAAUAUUGCACAAUGGGCGCAAGCCUGAUGCAGCGACGCCGCGUGGGGGAUGACGGCCUUCGGGUUGUAAACUCCUUUCGCUAGGGACGAAGCGCAAGUGACGGUACCUGGAGAAGAAGCACCGGCUAACUAUGUG